rnacentral:tRNA from 1 species
GGGCCGGUGGCGCAGCCUGGAGCGCACACCUACUCAGGAUCAGGUUGUCGGGGGUCCGAAUCCCCUCCGGCCCA